AGAGUUUGAUCCUGGCUCAGAUUGAACGCUGGCGGCAGGCUUAACACAUGCAAGUCGAACGAUGAUUAUCUAGCUUGCUAGAUAUGAUUAGUGGCGGACGGGUGAGUAACAUUUAGGAAUCUGCCUAGUAGUGGGGGAUAGCUCGGGGAAACUCGAAUUAAUACCGCAUACGACCUACGGGUGAAAGGGGGCGCAAGCUCUUGCUAUUAGAUGAGCCUAAAUCAGAUUAGCUAGUUGGUGGGGUAAAGGCCCACCAAGGCGACGAUCUGUAACUGGUCUGAGAGGAUGAUCAGUCACACCGGAACUGAGACACGGUCCGGACUCCUACGGGAGGCAGCAGUGGGGAAUAUUGGACAAUGGGGGCAACCCUGAUCCAGCCAUGCCGCGUGUGUGAAGAAGGCCUUUUGGUUGUAAAGCACUUUAAGCAGGGAGGAGAGGCUAAUGGUUAAUACCCAUUAGAUUAGACGUUACCUGCAGAAUAAGCACCGGCUAACUCCGUGCCAGCAGCCGCGGUAAGACGGAGGAUGCAAGCGUUAUCCGGAAUUAUUGGGCGUAAAGCGUCCGUAGGCGGUUAUAAAAGUCUGUUGUUAAAGCCCACAGCUCAACUGUGGAUGGGCGAUGGAAACUGUAUGACUAGAGAGUGGUAGGGGUAGAGGGAAUUCCUAGUGUAGCGGUGAAAUGCGUAGAUAUUAGGAAGAACACCAGUGGCGAAGGCGCUCUACUGGGCCAUUACUGACGCUGAUGGACGAAAGCUAGGGGAGCGAAAGGGAUUAGAUACCCCUGUAGUCCUAGCUGUAAACGAUGGACACUAGGUGUUGGCCGUAUCGACCCGGUCAGUAUCGAAGCUAACGCGUUAAGUA
rnacentral:rRNA from 1 species